CCCUUUGUGAACUACCUAUAACUGUUGCUUCGGCGGGUAGGGUCUCCGUGACCCUCCCGGCCUCCCGCCCCCCCGGGCGGGUCGGCGCCCGCCGGAGGAUAACCAAACUCUGAUUUAACGACGUUUCUUCUGAGUGGUACAAGCAAAUAAUCAAAACUUUUAACAACGGAUCUCUUGGUUCUGGCAUCGAUGAAGAACGCAGCGAAAUGCGAUAAGUAAUGUGAAUUGCAGAAUUCAGUGAAUCAUCGAAUCUUUGAACGCACAUUGCGCCCGCCAGCAUUCUGGCGGGCAUGCCUGUUCGAGCGUCAUUUCAACCCUCAAGCUCUGCUUGGUGUUGGGGCCCUACAGCCGAUGUAGGCCCUCAAAGGUAGUGGCGGACCCUCCCGGAGCCUCCUUUGCGUAGUAACUUUACGUCUCGCACUGGGAUCCGGAGGGACUCUUGCCGUAAAACCCCCCAAUUUUCCAAAGGUUGACCUCGGAUCAGGUAGGAAUACCCGCUGAACUUAAGCAUAU
rnacentral:rRNA from 1 species